rnacentral:rRNA from 1 species
AACGAACGCUGGCGGCAUGCCUAACACAUGCAAGUCGAACGAAGGCUUCGGCCUUAGUGGCGCACGGGUGCGUAGCGCGUGGGAAUCUGCCCUUUGGUUCGGAAUAACAGCUGGAAACGGCUGCUAAUACCGGAUGAUGACGAAAGUCCAAAGAUUUAUCGCCAGAGGAUGAGCCCGCGUUGGAUUAGGUAGUUGGUGGGGUAAGGCCUACCAAGCCGACGAUCCAUAGCUGGUCUGAGAGGAUGAUCAGCCACACUGGGACUGAGACACGGCCCAGACUCCUACGGGAGGCAGCAGUGGGGAAUAUUGGACAAUGGGCGCAAGCCUGAUCCAGCAAUGCCGCGUGAGUGAUGAAGGCCCUAGGGUUGUAAAGCUCUUUUACCCGGGAAGAUAAUGACUGUACCGGGAGAAUAAGCCCCGGCUAACUCCGUG